CCAGACUCCUACGGGAGGCAGCAGUGGGGGAUAUUGCACAAUGGGGGGAACCCUGAUGCAGCGACGCCGCGUGGGUGAAGGAGUGCUUCGGCAUGUAAAGCCCUAUCGGCAGGGAAGAAGCAAGACGGUACCUGACUAAGAAGCCCCGGCUAACUACGUGCCAGCAGCCGCGGUAAUACGUAGGGGGCGAGCGUUAUCCGGAUUCACUGGGUGUAAAGGGAGCGUAGACGGCCAAGCAAGCCAGGGGUGAAAGCCCGGGGCCCAACCCCGGGACUGCCCUUGGAACUGCAUGGCUGGAGUGCGGGAGGGGCAGGCGGAAUUCCUAGUGUAGCGGUGAAAUGCGUAGAUAUUAGGAGGAACACCAGUGGCGAAGGCGGCCUGCUGGACGAUGACUGACGUUGAGGCUCGAAAGCGUGGGGAGCAAACAGGAUUAGAUACCCGCGUAUCG
rnacentral:rRNA from 1 species